rnacentral:rRNA from 1 species
AAAGCCUGAUCCAGCCAUGCCGCGUGUGUGAAGAAGGUCUUCGGAUUGUAAAGCACUUUAAUUUGGGAGGAAGGGCAGUAAGCUAAUACCUUGCUGUUUUGACGUUACCGACAGAAUAAGCACCGGCUAACUCUGUGCCAGCAGCCGCGGUAAUACAGAGGGUGCAAGCGUUAAUCGGAAUUACUGGGCGUAAAGCGCGCGUAGGCGGUUUAUUAAGUCAGAUGUGAAAGCCCCGGGCUCAACCUGGGAAUUGCAUUUGAGACUGGUAGGCUAGAGUGUGGUAGAGGUGAGUGGAAUUUCAGGUGUAGCGGUGAAAUGCGUAGAGAUCUGAAGGAACAUCAGUGGCGAAGGCGACUCACUGGGCCAUUACUGACGCUGAGGUGCGAAAGCGUGGGUAGCAAACAGGAUUAGAUACCCUGGUAGUCCAUGCCGUAAACGAUGUCUACUAGCCGUUGGGGCCUUUGAGGCUUUAGUGGCGCAGCUAACGCGAUAAGUAGACCGCCUGGGGAGUACGGUCGCAAGACUAA